rnacentral:rRNA from 1 species
GUGCCAGCAGCCGCGGUAAUACGUAGGUGGCAAGCGUUGUCCGGAUUUAUUGGGCGUAAAGCGAGCGCAGGCGGUUUCUUAAGUCUGAUGUGAAAGCCUUCGGCUCAACCGAAGAAGUGCAUCGGAAACUGGGAAACUUGAGUGCAGAAGAGGACAGUGGAACUCCAUGUGUAGCGGUGAAAUGCGUAGAUAUAUGGAAGAACACCAGUGGCGAAGGCGGCUGUCUGGUCUGUAACUGACGCUGAGGCUCGAAAGCAUGGGUAGCAAACAGGAUUAGAUACCCUGGUUAGUCCAUGCCGUAAACGAUGAGUGCUAGGUGUUGGAGGGUUCCCGCCCUUCAGUGCCGCAGCUAACGCAUUAAGCACUCCGCCUGGGGAGUACGACCGCAAGGUUGAAACUCAAGGAAUUGACGGGGGCCCGCACAAGCGGUGGAGCAUGUGGUUAAUUCGAAGCAACGCGAAGAACCUUACCAGGUCUUGACAUCCUUUGACCACUCUAGAGAUAGAGCUUUCCCUUCGGGGACAAAGUGACAGGUGGUGCAUGGUUGUCGUCAGCUCGUGUCGUGAGAUGUUGGGUUAAGUCCCGCAAACGAGCGCAACCCUUAUUACUAGUUGCCAGCAUUAAGUUGGGCACUCUAGUGAGACUGCCGGUGACAAAACCGGAGGAAGGUGGGGACGACGUCAAAUCAUCAUGCCCCUUAUGACCUGGGCUACACACGUGCUACAAUGGAUGGUACAACGAGUUGCGAGACCGCGAGGUUUAGCUAAUCUCUUAAAACCAUUCUCAGUUCGGAUUGUAGGCUGCAACUCGCCUACAUGAAGCCGGAAUCGCUAGUAAUCGCGGAUCAGCAUGCCGCGGUGAAUACGUUCCCGGGCCUUGUACACACCGCCCGU